rnacentral:lncRNA from 1 species
GGGGACCAUUUCGUCUUGGGUCGGGUGGAGUAGACUUCUCCUCCGGGUUGGGGAGGGUUGCUGCUCCCGUCUGUAAUCGCAAAAGUGUAAGUGUAAAAACGCACAAAUUGAUAAUCGGAGUGGCUGAGAGUUUGUUUUAGGGCAGUGAUCUGCCCAGAAGUGCCCGUCACCGACCACCGCUGAACGUUUCGUAACGGAAAACUCCCGACUCAAAAACCUGAAGAUCGUAACCACUGAGAAGAACCUGAUUCUUGCUGUGAGCAAGCUAAACUAUGGGCCAUUUUGAAAAGCCAAACCUCUGAAGCAGCAGUCUGAUCUGAUCCUGUAGCCACAAGGUGGGUGCAGUUGCUCACUGUCU